UACAGAGGAUGCAAGCGUUAUCCGGAAUGAUUGGGCGUAAAGCGUCUGUAGGUGGCUUUUUAAGUCCGCCGUCAAAUCCCAGGGCUCAACUCUGGACAGGCGGUGGAAACUACCAAGCUGGAGUACGGUAGGGGCAGAGGGAAUUUCCGGUGGAGCGGUGAAAUGCGUAGAAAUCGGGAAGAACAUCGGUGGCGAAAGCGCUCUGCUGGACUGCAACUGACACUCAGGGACGAAAGCUAGGGGAGCGAAUGGG
rnacentral:rRNA from 1 species